UACGAAGGGGGCUAGCGUUGUUCGGAUUUACUGGGCGUAAAGCGCACGUAGGCGGUUUGUUAAGUCAGGUGUGAAAUCCCAGAGCUCAACUCUGGAACUGCCUUUGAUACUGGCAAGCUCGAGUCCGGAAGAGGUAAGUGGAACUCCUAGUGUAGAGGUGGAAUUCGUAGAUAUUAGGAAGAACACCAGUGGCGAAGGCGGCUUACUGGUCCGGAACUGACGCUGAGGUGCGAAAGCGUGGGGAGCAAACAGG
rnacentral:rRNA from 1 species